rnacentral:misc_RNA from 1 species
AAAUGCGCUAAUUAAUGUGAAUUGCAGAAUUCAGUGAAUCAUCGAGUCUUUGAACGCACAUUGCGCCCCCUGGUAUUCCGGGGGGCAUGCCUGUCCGAGCGUCAUUGCUGCCCUCAAGCACGGCUUGUGUGUUGGGCUUCCGUCCCUGGCAACGGGGACGGGCCCAAAAGGCAGUGGCGGCACCAUGUCUGGUCCUCGAGCGUAUGGGGCUUUGUCACCCGCUCCCGUAGGUCCAGCUGGCAGCUAGCCUCGCAACCAAUCUUUUUAACCAGGUUGACCUCGGAUCAGGUAGGGAUACCCGCUGAACUUAAGC